rnacentral:rRNA from 1 species
AUUGAACGCUGGCGGCAGGCUUAACACAUGCAAGUCGAACGAGUGGCGGACGGGUGAGUAAUGCUUGGGAAUCUAGCUUAUGGAGGGGGAUAACUACGGGAAACUGUAGCUAAUACCGCGUACCAUAGGAUGAGCCCAAGUGGGAUUAGGUAGUUGGGGAGGUAAAGGCUCACCAAGGCGACGAUCUCUAGCUGGUCUGAGAGGAUGACCAGCCACACUGGGACUGAGACACGGCCCAGACUCCUACGUGAGGCAGCAGUGGGGAAUAUUGCACAAUGGGCGCAAGCCUGAUGCAGCCAUGCCGCGUGAAUGAAGAAGGCCUUCGGGUUGUAAAGUACUUUCAGUAGGGAGGCGUUACCUGCAGAAGAAGCACCGGCUAACUCCGUGCCAGCAGCCGCGGUAAUUC